CCCAACUCAGGAUCACACCUGAAGAGUUUUCAAUACUCUAUCAGUCUUGUCUAUAGGUGGGAGAGUCAAGCAGAGGCUUAUCCAUUCCAUUCUUAGCUUGGGCAGUGGCUAGCGAGUGGAAGAUAAUCUGCUACAAGU